rnacentral:tRNA from 1 species
GUCGGAGUGGCGAAACAGGCAGACGCGUUGGACUUAGGAUCCAAUGGGGCAACCCAUGAGGGUUCGAAUCCCUCCUCCGACA